rnacentral:rRNA from 1 species
AGAGCGAACGCUGGCGGCAGGCUUAACACAUGCAAGUCGAGCGGAUGUAGCAAUACAUCAGCGGCAGACGGGAGAGGAACACGUGGGAACGCGCCCUUUGGUUCGGAAUAACUCAGGGAAACUUGAGCUAAUACCGGAUAAGCCCUUACGGGGAAAGAUUUAUCGCCAAAAGAACGGCCCGCGUCCGAUUAGCUAGUUGGUGAGGUAAUGGCUCACCAAGGCGACGAUCGGUAGCUGGUCUGAGAGGAUGACCAGCCUCACUGGGACUGAGACACGGCCCAGACUCCUACGGGAGGCAGCAGUGGGAAUAUUGGACAAUGGGCGCAAGCCUGAUCCAGCCAUGCCGCGUGAGUGAUGAAGGCCUUAGGGUUGUAAAGCUCUUUUGGCAGGGACGAGUGAUGACGGUACCUGCAGAAUAAGCCCGGCUAACUUCGCGCCAGCACGCCGC